rnacentral:lncRNA from 1 species
UGAAUGGAUUUUGAGCUUAAACUUAAUAUUGAUAAUAAUAUUUUGUUUUGCAUUUUAUAUGAAUAAUUGUGAAUUAAUUUAUUAAAUUGUUUUUAAUUAGAUAAAAUGGAGUUUGGAAAAAAUAUAUAGUGAUAUACUCCUGCGCUCUCCGGUGGGACCGCAAAAAAUAUAUGCAAUAUUACGUACGGAAACAAACAAAGUAUUUUUACAGCAUACUUUCUCACCGCACGUAACGCAUUCUCUUCGCAAUACCAAACGAAGCCUUAAUAUCCAAACGCCUAUUUUUCUUAUUUCUAAAAAUAAUUCAAUUUUUAUUCAAUUUUCAUCCAAACAUAAAAUUAGUCACAUUCAUUCGAGCAAAUUCGUUAAAUUUGAUUUUUACGAGAAGUAUGAAAAAAAUUAUUAAAU